rnacentral:misc_RNA from 1 species
GCAGUUGGGCUGGGCAAUUUUAUUGUGACCCCACAUGAGCAUAUAUUCCGCGUGAAGGAUGGUUGUGAAUUUAUAUGUUAUGGCGGUUAUAUCACUUAUGGUUGUUGAAGGUAAUUGAUUAGCAUUGAUCCUUGAGGUUGUUGAUCGUGCCCUUCAUCUGUUGUGAGCUGAUGAUAUCUGAGUGGAGCCUAGUAUGUAAAAUUAUUAAAUGUGUACUUUUGUAGCUUGCUAUUUUGGGUUUUAUUUAGCCAGAACUAAAAGCAAUUAAGUGACCCCUUCCUGGUUUUAGGGAUUCUUAGCUUUACUGUUUUUACAGUGCAGAUAACAGAUGCAUAACUAGGACCAGGAUAUGCUUUAUUUUCGAAUGAGCCUGACUUUUGGCAGGUGGUUUGAUUCUUAGAAUUUGAGUGCUUGUUG